rnacentral:rRNA from 1 species
CCCCGGGACCUGCAUCCCAUACUGCUGAGCUUGAGUACAGGAGAGGGUGGGGGAAUUCCUGGUGUAGCGGUGAAAUGCGUAGAUAUCAGGAGGAACACCGGUGGCGAAGGCGCCCACCUGGCCUGCUACUGACGCUGAUGCUCGAAAGCUAGGGGAGCAAACGGGAUUAGAUACCCCGGUAGUCCUAGCCGUAAACGGUGAUCACUAGGUGUUGGGAGCAUCGACCCUUCCAGUGCCGCGGCUAACGCAUUAAGUGAUCCGCCUGGGGAGUACGGCCGCAAGGUUGAAACUCAAAGGAAUUGACGGGGGCCCGCACAAGCGGUGGAGCAUGUGGUUCAAUUCGACGCAACGCGAAGAACCUUACCCAGACUUGACAUGUACUGGACUGGUGUGGAAACACAUCUUCCCUUCGGG